rnacentral:rRNA from 1 species
UGGGGAAUAUUGCACAAUGGGCGCAAGCCUGAUGCAGCCAUGCCGCGUGUAUGAAGAAGGCCUUCGGGUUGUAAAGUACCUUCAGCGGGGAGGAAGGCGAUGCGGUUAAUAACCGCGUCGAUUGACGUUACCCGCAGAAGAAGCACCGGCUAACUCCGUGCCAGCAGCCGCGGUAAUACGGAGGGUGCAAGCGUUAAUCGGAAUUACUGGGCGUAAAGCGCACGCAGGCGGUCUGUCAAGUCGGAUGUGAAAUCCCCGGGCUCAACCUGGGAACUGCAUCCGAAACUGGCAGGCUUGAGUCUCGUAGAGGGGGGUAGAAUUCCAGGUGUAGCGGUGAAAUGCGUAGAGAUCUGGAGGAAUACCGGUGGCGAAGGCGGCCCCCUGGACGAAGACUGACGCUCAGGUGCGAAAGCGUGGGGAGCAAACA